GAUGAACGCUGGCGGCGUGCCUAAUACAUGCAAGUCGAGCGAACGGACGAGAAGCUUGCUUCUCUGAUGUUAGCGGCGGACGGGUGAGUAACACGUGGAUAACCUACCUAUAAGACUGGGAUAACUUCGGGAAACCGGAGCUAAUACCGGAUAAUCUUUUGAACCGCAUGGUUCAAAAGUGAAAGACGGUCUUGCUGUCACUUAUAGAUGGAUCCGCGCUGCAUUAGCUAGUUGGUAAGGUAACGGCUUACCAAGGCAACGAUGCAUAGCAGACCUGAGAGGCGGAUCGGCCACAUUGGAACUGAGACACGGACAAGACGCCUAAGGUAGGCAGCAGUAGGGAAUCUUCCGCAAUGGUCGAAAGCCUGACGGAGCAACGCCGCGUGAGUGAUGAAGGUCUUCGGAUCGUAAAACCCUGUUAUGAGGGAAGAACAUAUGUGUAAGUAACUGUGCACAGCGUGACGGUACCGAAUCAGAAAGCCACGGCUAACUACGUG
rnacentral:rRNA from 1 species